GUUCAAACACUUGUUUCCGUAACAUCACCGAAGUUAAGCAACAUAGAGCCUGGCUAGUAAUUAAAUGGGUGAACAUUUGUGAAUACUAGGUGCUGAAA